GAUGAACGCUGGCGGCGUGCCUAAUACAUGCAAAUCGAGCGAACAGACGAGGAGCUUGCUCCUCUGACGUUAGCGGCGGACGGGUGAGUAACACGUGGAUAACCUACCUAUAAGACUGGGAUAACUUCGGGAAACCGGAGCUAAUACCGGAUAAUAUAUUGAACCGCAUGGUUCAAUAGUGAAAGACGGUUUUGCUGUCACUUAUAGAUGGAUCCGCGCCGCAUUAGCUAGUUGGUAAGGUAACGGCUUACCAAGGCAACGAUGCGUAGCCGACCUGAGAGGGUGAUCGGCCACACUGGAACUGAGACACGGUCCAGACUCCUACGGGAGGCAGCAGUAGGGAAUCUUCCGCAAUGGGCGAAAGCCUGACGGAGCAACGCCGCGUGAGUGAUGAAGGUCUUCGGAUCGUAAAACUCUGUUAUUAGGGAAGAACAAAUGUGUAAGUAACUAUGCACGUCUUGACGGUACCUAUCAGAAAGCCACGGCUAACUACGU
rnacentral:rRNA from 1 species